rnacentral:rRNA from 1 species
CACCUGCGCCACAAGUGGCAAUCAUGUUUAUUUGGUCUAAAGCGUCCGUAGCUGGAUUAGAAAAUCUAUUGUGAAAUUGUUGAGCUUAACUUAACGGUGUGCAAUAGACACUUUUAAUCUUGAGACUGGUGAGGAGAUAAAAGUAUUUUAAGGGUAACGGUAAAAUGUUUUGAUCCUUAAAGGACUGCCAAUGGCGAAGGCAUUUAUCUAUAACAGGUCUGACAGUGAGGGACGAAGGCUAGGGGAGCAAAACGGAUUAGAUACCCCCGUA